AUUGAACGCUGGCGGCAGGCUUAACACAUGCAAGUCGAGCGGAGAGAGGUAGCUUGCUCCUGAUCUUAGCGGCGGACGGGUGAGUAAUGCUUAGGAAUCUGCCUAUUAGUGGGGGACAACAUUUCGAAAGGAAUGCUAAUACCGCAUACGUCCUACGGGAGAAAGCAGGGGAUCUUCGGACCUUGCGCUAAUAGAUGAGCCUAAGUCGGAUUAGCUAGUUGGUGGGGUAAAGGCCUACCAAGGCGACGAUCUGUAGCGGGUCUGAGAGGAUGAUCCGCCACACUGGGACUGAGACACGGCCCAGACUCCUACGGGAGGCAGCAGUGGGGAAUAUUGGACAAUGGGCGCAAGCCUGAUCCAGCCAUGCCGCGUGUGUGAAGAAGGCCUUAUGGUUGUAAAGCACUUUAAGCGAGGAGGAGGCUACUUUAGUUAAUACCUAGAGAUAGUGGACGUUACUCGCAGAAUAAGCACCGGCUAACUCUGUG
rnacentral:rRNA from 1 species